UCGAAAAAUCGCACAAAUUAUUUUUAGUCUAUUUGAACUUUUAUGCUUUAUAUGGUCAUCAAUAUUCACGCCUAAAUUUCAUAAAUUUGAAAUUUAAAAAGUAAAAACACCAAAAAAAAAGCAACAUAGACGAGAGACUGCGCAAAGUAAAAUUUGGCGACUAAACCGAAAGCCUCGAUAUCAUCUAUAUUUAAUGACUACUUAAGUUGAGAAUAGUAUUCGAUUUUUUACACUUUUAAAGGAGGACGAAAUGUGACAUUAUGUUCAUUUUUCUUGUUUGUUAAACUCCAUAACCACCACCAUGCUCUUUUGUUUUAAAAUAACAUUGACAAAAAUCAUUUUCUAACGCAUAUUUGGAAAUCAUAAACACCAAUCUAUAAUUGCUUUAGUUUUUGAGAAGCAUAACUAAAUCAUCCUCUCAAAUACAAGGAUACUAUUUUGGACAGAAUGGAUGGAUAUUGACAGUUCAAAUCGUUGCGAUACUUUUUAUUCUUAUAAUAUGGAAUUACAAAUACCGUGAUUAGCCUUACUCCGCAUUAGGGUACUGAAAACAUCUAAACCCAUCCUACUCUAUCUUGCGGUGACUGCUUAUCUUUUGCAACCCACAUAUCGGUUUUCAUUGUGUAUCAUCUUCCUGGAUAUCCUUUGUAAUAGUUUAAUCGUAGUAGAUAAACAAGCAAUGAGUAAGAAAAAAAAUGUAGUACGACGAUGAUGUGUUUUCUCAAGAUGAUAACGGAUCUAGCUUCGCCAUCAAUAAGUAUGAGGCAAAGGAGUCCAUCUUUGAUGAAACAUCCAUUUGCCUGUUGUACAUUUUUGCAGGACAACCAGCCUGAGCACAAGAGACAUGGUGUACUAGACUUUGUGCGGAAUGUCUACUUCAAAACUCGCAUCUUUAUAUCUGAUAUAUAGAGAUAUAGAGAUAUAGAGAUAUAGAGAGAGGCUGAUGAUUUAUAAACACAAACGAUAAGACUUGUAACAUGAAGUUUAUCGAAAAAGUCAAUCUUUAAAUUCCUUUCUGAACCUCUCUGUUAUGUCAGUGCUUCGGUACCAUGCUUUUAGUGCGGUCAUUUAAAGGCAUAGCGAUGAUAGUUCUAAAGUUACUGUAUUGAUCAAUUGGAAGAACAUCCAAAUAAAAAAAAGCAUGCAAAAUGCUAGUAUUAUCAGUAACUGCAAAUAAAAAAAGAUAACAAAAAUUUACAGGAUCAUCGAGAAGAGUAGAUACUGAUAAUAUUGAGAUCCACAGCACUCAACAACAGUCUUGGAUUUAUUUAGCCAUUUGCUUAACUUACUGUCUCAACAAUAUUGUUGUUUGGCAUCGCCAUAAAUAUAUGACCUAGAAGUAAAAUUCGUGUUGUCGAAACAAUUCCAAUCGGUUCACUUUUCUCUUUCAAAAGUAUAUCGAAGUAGGAAUGAUGUACUCCCAACUGCGGAUGGAAAAAGUUCUUUAUCGAUUUUAAUAUCUGGUGUUGUGGAAAAAAACGAAAUACGAUCAAAAUUGAGAAAAUUAAGAAAGAAUAUGAAUAUGGUUUUACUUAUUUUACUACCCAUGAUGUCGUUGGUUAAAAACAUGAUGUUAAGGGUGAACCGCAGCAUAUUGGUCGUUUUUAAUUAAGGAAUUGAAUGACUUUCAAAGAUGCACAGUAAUCCUUCCUUAAUCACCAUUUUAGAUUUAUUAAUUUCAACAUACGCUCUCCAUGUACUUGGAAUCGAAUUGAGAACUUGUUAUGCCACAAAUGAAUAUCUUUUUAUUGAGUAACAUCGUUAAUAAAGCAAAUGCUUCACGGUAUUUUUUGAAAUCUUUGACAGUAUUUGUUCAGCUGGGAUGGAUGAUAAUUUGACGAGGCACAUUCCUUAUACGCAAACGAAAGAUACAAUUUCGCUUUGGCAAAACAUUGCAAAUGUUGCAAUUGUCCCAAUUAUAUAUGCAUCAUUAAAUUUGCUUAGCAUUACUUUUUCCUUGGUAGUUACAUUCAGUGCCAAACAACCGCUUUAACCUUUCAUACAAAACUUUUGUGUAUUCACAGAAGCAUCCACUGGGCGGGAAACCAUUUUUCUUGUUUCUGCAUGUAUUCUUAGAAGAGAUUUAAGCUUUCCCUUGAAUUUUCGAAUGUUGAUAAAAACAAAAUAAUAGACUUUGGAAAGGUGAUUCAAUGAAUAAACAUGAAACGUUCACCGUACAUUAAUUAAGCAUCCUUUUCGACCACCCUGACUUGUUCUCUCAUCACAUCUUGAUAACCAUUUACACGAGAGAUUUAAAUGAAGAAGAAUGAAAAAUUCACUUUGACGAGUCUUGGAACCCCUAACUUGGAAAGGCACAGAUCAUGAUUGCUACAAAAGCAUUUGCACUCGGUUUCAGCUAUAGGAAGUGUGAUUGGUCGUACAUGAUGGAUUGACAUUCUCGUCUAUUUGGAUCACAUACAGAAGACAAGCCAAGUCAGAGCAGACAAUACGUAUGCGAUUGAGACAUUAUUUUUGUGAAAUUUAUGAUUCUUCCACAUGUUUGAAUGAUGUAGAAGAUGUACAGGAAACUUUUAAUGAUGAUACGAUAUCGGUUCAAUCACAAUUCAUAAGCGAAACGAAUGCCAAAUACUAAUACUAUAUAUCCAUGAAUCAUUUACCAAUAGUAUUUUUACUGUUCGUGAAUGCUGAGAAAGUUUAUGUCUAAUGUAUUAGCUGUGUCAACCAUUUAUAGUGUGAAGCCACUUUCCACUUGCAACGCUAAGGAUACCUAGACGCACAAAUACAUUAUGCUAGUGGCACGGCCAAAAUUAUUUACUCCAAAGUCUUUAUCCUCUUCGUUUAUAUCGCUAACAAGAAAUCGUAGUCACAAAUGUACAUACGUUGAAACAUUUGAACAACGUACAACAAGCCAAUAAUGACAAGAAUGGAGAUGAAAGUGGUGAUGGUUAGUGGUAGUCGUGGUAGUAAUGGAAGUGGUAAGUGGAAGUGGUAAGUGGAAGUGGUAAGUGGAAGUGGUAAGUGGAAGUGGUAAGUGGAAGUGGUAAGUGGAAGUGGUAAGUGGAAGUGGUAAGUGGAAGUGGUAAGUGGAAGUGGUGGUGGUGGUGGUAGUGCUUGUGGUAAGUGUAAGUGGUAAGUGGAAGUGGUAGUGGUAGUGGUGCUGUGCUGAUGCUGGCGCCGAUACUGGUGAUGAUGUUGAUGCCUAUACUGACACUAGUACUGACACUAGAUGACACUAGUACUGGUACUAAUGGUACCAUUCAACUUGGCAAGUAUAAGACUUAUGUGUGUAAGUGGUAAAAAAUCAAUGAGUAAACUCCACUAAGAAAAUUUCACAACUCCGUUGAUUCUUUUGAGUAUACAAACAUGAACGUUCAAGUUUUACCUUUGUUAAUUCAAUUCUAAUUAUACUGGUUUGUACUUGCUAAGCAUGUCCUGUUCACUUAUCUAAUUCGUUUCAAUUGCGGCAACUCUGGUCCGAUUUAUAAUUCGAAGGACUGAGUUUUUACCCUUUGGAUAAAGUUUUUCAACAUACUUACAAUGAUUAUGGUCUCCACUCCUGACGUAGGUCCAUGUGGUAAUAGAACACAAACUUCAAAAUCUCAUCACUAUAUUAUACUUGGUACAACAUGCAAUACCGAUUGUAUAUACCGAAUACAGUUUCCUAUUGCAAUGAAUGUGAUUUAAUCAUUUUAUGGGAGUUUUUUCAUUCAAAACUGCUUUAAAUCUAAAAACUCUUCUUUAUUCUUGACACUCGUAUAUGUUGUCUGAUAUUCCUAUUCGUGUUUCAAUAACGAAGUUUACUUUCAUUCAAAUAAAUAGAACCAAUCAAGUUUACUAGUGCUUAUUUUUUUCUUUUUUAAUAAAAAGAAUGAAUAUUAGGUGUAUGAUAUGAAUACGUUUUUGUUUGUUUGUUUGCAAAUUAAAAUUAAAAACAACAAAAAAUUAAAGCUACUGAUUUAACUUUGCUUAUUCCAUAACACUUCUUACUCAAUCUCACAU
rnacentral:lncRNA from 1 species